CUCAGGAACUUUAAGCAUGUUUCCAUUGCAAGAACAUUUUCUAGGAACAUUAGAUGUAUUUCCAAUUUUGGAACGUUUUAAGCAAAUUAGGUGCAUUUUCAGGAACUACGGAACUUUAGGCAUGUUUCCGCCGCAGAAACCUUUUUCAGGAGGAGCAUUCAAUAAGCAUUUUAGAUGUGUUUUCUCUGCAUGAACUUUUUCAAAAAUUUAGAUACGUUUCCAGUGCAUUAACUUUUUCAGGAACAACGUAAGGAGCUUAGUUUCUUUUUCAGGAAUUUAGCUGCUUUUUCAAUUUUUUCAGGAACUUAAGGCAAGUUUCCACUGCAGGAACUGUUUUGUUAACUUAUAAAACAUUAGAUGUGGUGUUGUGUUUUUUUUAACUGCAGGAACAACAUGGUUCUUAACGGACUCUACUUCGAGAACCCCUGGACUUUUCUUAUUUCUUACGUAAUAAGAUCAUGCUAGUCAGAAAUGUUCGAUCUUCAGCGGGCUCUGUUUGAGUCGGGAGACAAGGAGAGAUAGAAGGAAAAAAAAAGAAGUGUGGCUUCACCGUGCCUUAAUUGGUCAGGAAACAAAAGCACCUGGAAGAUUUUGAUGAGCCCGUAUCUGUUCUCUGUAUUCCAAUAGAGAGACAGAUUCAUUUCUAGACUGUUAGAAGAGAGAAGGAUAAGGAGAGAGAGAGAGAGAGAGAGAGAGAAUGAGAAAAGAGAGAGAGAAAGGUUUUCCCACACAGGGACUGCAACAGCGCAGCUCAUUCCCAUCCAUCUCACUGUUUCACGGGCUGGAAAUCCCCUGCACAAAGAGGCCAAAUUUAAUCCUGCACCUCUGCAGGCGCGGGAGGCUCCCCUGGCCAACAUCCAUACGAGAGGCACUUUUGUCUCGGAAGCCUUUAGGGAGCAAAGCAAUUGUUGCGGUCACGCAGCUCCUUUUUUUUCUUAAACCCAAGUUCAGUGUGUAACUUGUUUGAUUAGGAAGAAACAUAAACUCACGUUUGCUCUCGAUUUCUUUUCUUUGUACGCGUUUCCGUCGUGCACUCACUGGAUUGAGGGUAUCAGAGUUUGGGAACACAGAGCGUGUUGAGCAGAUUUAGGAGAAGCUGAUAAUCUUGUAACCUGAAUAGCCGUUUUCUUCUCAACCAUUGUUUGCAUCAAAUUGCGCAGUCAAGCAGUCGCUGUCCCAGACGUACAGAACGAGAUUCAACCGUCCUGGAGAAAUAUGAUCACUACUGGCUCACUUCCUGCCAUAAAAGUAACACUGAUUCCAUGCACUUGUCACGCAUUUUCCAUUACGACUCUUUCUUUUGACCAUCUUGAGCUUUUUUUUUUUUUUGGUAACAGUCUCUUCAAUUGAAUGCGACUUUGAAGCAAUGAAAGAAUGAUGGACUUUUGUGAGUGUUGUCAUCUUUCCUGUACAUUUCAGCCGAGACAACUUCUGCUAAUUGAUUUAUACAAUGUUUCCUCUUGCCCCAAAAUAUCUUCUGUGUCUAAACUUCUUAAAACUCUUUACUUUUGCGCAGGAGCUACAAAGCUAAAGUAGCUAACAAGUAAUGAAAUGAUCUCUCACCCCAAAUCCACUUGCAGGUCUUGGUUUAAGAUGCUGUGACUUGUCUUUUCACGCGAACAAAACUGCACCAUGCAUCUGAACGCUGUAAUGUUACACGGGUGGUCAUCUUAGAAACUAUUUUCUUAGUACAAUUUAUCAUUCCACCCCCCAGGCCACGCCUUCCAAAGUUAUUGUUUUUUUUUUUGGUUUUUUUUUUGCAACUACUGAUUUGCUAACUAUGGAAGCCCAUUUCCGCCAUGGAGAAUUUUUUUUUUUAAAAGGUUGAAAUUGCGACUUUAUAUCUCAGAAUUGAGACGUUAUGUCUUACAAUUGCGACUUUAUACCUCACAAUUCUGACUUUUUUUCUUUCAACUUGGACAUCCACCUGACAGUUCGUGAGAAAUAAUGUCAAAAUCGUGCAAUAUGAACUUGAAUUGUGAGAUUUAAAUAAAUUCAUUAAUUGAGGUUAACUCAAAAUUGUGAGACAAAUAGUCAGAAAUAAAGUUGCAUUUCUGAGAUAUAAAGCCACUUUUAUCAUUUAAAAAUUUUUGCCCCGUUGAACGGGUUUCCAUAGCUAGACCUAAUAGCAAGAUUCGGAAAAUCUCUUAAUGCGUAGUACAAAAUGUAUUGCUCAAUUCAGAUUGGUCCGAAAGAUUUAAUUAAUUUUCCAUAACAGCAGCUUUGACAGUAGUGUCAUCCAUUAGGCAAAUCACAGGUUUGUAUUAAUGCGCUCGCUCUAAUAUUGCUUAUCUGAUAUCAUUAUUGUUUCCACGGUUACGACUUACACACGGCGGUCUCAACACAUGAACGGAUUUAAAAGCGUUUUUAACAAAGCAAAAAAAGUAUAAUUGUUUAUACAGCGAAGUUUUCUGUAAGGAGAUGCUUAUUUAACAUUUAACAUUGAUGUACGGAGUCUCCAGUGCAAGCGCCCUGUAACGGUCACCAUUCCGAAUGUAUGCUUUACAGUCUCUCCAUAACAUGACAAGCUGUUUUUAUUUAUUUUUUUAUUAUUAACUUAUUAACUUCAAGAGAGCAAAAAACGACACGUCCUUUAAUAAAUAAAAUGUUGGCAAAUUGCUGCGGUAUAAGAGGAAUAAAACACUUUAGGAAGUGCUAAAACUGUGGUAAAAUGCAUCACACCAUUAUUAAUUAUUUUCCUGUCACAUCUUGUCGUGUUUUAUUCCUUACAAACCACAUCAUGUACUUCUUUUUCCUCGUGAUCCUCUCCGGAGAGAUAUGCAGUAAUAUGUGCUAUAAACAUUGAGACUUCUGGGCUUCAUUGCUAAUGGUUCUGAACUAAGCUUAUUUAUCUAGAAUUAUGAUGUUUUUUAUAUUAUUAUUAUUAUUAUUAUUAUUAUUAUUUUAAUUAUGAGACUCAAAAUUUCUAAGCGCUACUCCUCCUAGAGCUUUCAAGCUACAUCCAGCAGACUCAGCACAGACCUUCAGACUGUUCUAACUCCUAAACUUUUCAAGCUAUAUCCACCAAACUCAGCACAGACCUUCAGACUGUUCUCUCUUUUCACGCGGUGGGGUUGUAUGGAUGUACAAUUUCUCUGUAUUGGAUGAUCAAACAUCUCCAAAAACUCCCAUAGACCUUACAUUGACAGAAUGUUUCACUGUAUCACUCUCUCACUCCUUCUGACUUUCUACUAAUAACACUCUCUCUCCAUCUGUCUACUUGUGUCACUCUCUCACUCCAUCUGGCUUUUCAGUUGUAUCCCCCUAUUUGCCAUCAAUGUAUCUUUGUACCAGUAACUGCCUUUCUUUCUGUCUGCCUGUCACCGUUCGUUCUUUCUUUCUUUCUUUCUUUCUGUCUUUCAUUCUUUCUUUCAACUUGAAACUAUCUACAAGCUUAUGAAACAGUUUCAAACUUCCAGACUGGCUUUAUCACGAUGAACUUUACCUAUCAAGUUGGUGUAAGUCAUUUUUAAAAGUUUCAAGCGUGUUAGUGGUAACUUUUGAUGAAUCGUGUCGUUCCUGGGUUCUCCAUCAGCGGAGUGUUUGCUGUAGGCCCGUCUGAAACAGCCCGCCUCAGUCGCUGUGUGUUCCCUCCCAUCCCUCUCGGGGCCCAUGCAUAAUGAAGCUCUGUGUAGUGCUGUGGUUUUGAAUGCACAUCAGACAGCAUCUCUACGUACAGCUCCAUAUGCCCGGGGACGUCAUGCUCACCACAUCAUAUUUCCAGCCCUGAUGAGACGGGCUCCAGCCAAACGCGUACACAAACAAGCACUUCGAAACAACAAUUUAAAAAGUGGGAUCGUUGCCAUGGUGCAGGCUGUUUGAUUACGGAGGGGAAGUGAGUGUUUUUCUCAGAAUCGCUUUUGCCAGGCACCUCUUCAUGUGGUUUAGAGGUUUUUUUUUUUUUUUUUUUUUUUUUUUUUGUUAAUUUUUUUUUUAUACAUUUUUAAAGAUUUUUUAUGCCAACGACUAAGUGUUGAUGAGAUGUUUUUGAUGCCUGGAUUACAGUUCCCUUUAUCGUCAAACGUCUUUUAGUGAUCGAGGAUACUGUGAUUUGUUCAGUUGUGUUUAAUGGUCAUUACUUAUCAUUAACCACCAUGUGGUCUAAACGGAGUGGUUAGUGCUCAGGUUGUGGUCCAUUUGAAAUUAAUGAGUUAAACGGUGCAUUGUUGAAUUUGGCGCAAAAAAAACCCAACAAAAAUAAAUAAAUAAAUAAAUAAAAAUGCACAAUCAGGGCCACUGGGUAUCCCGCAAAAAACUCAUGUUUCUUUAGCGAUAGCGUUUCCAGACAUUCCUGCAAUUAUCAAAAGGCCGAACAAAGAAAUACUGCAAGAAAGAUUAUCCAGUUUGAUAAUUUUUUUUUGUUUGUUUGUUUCUUAACAGUUUGGACACAUCUUGAAUUCAUUUCAAUUUCUAAUGAAUUCAAGCAUGAAUAGAUUUUUAUGCGAUGCACAUCGUGUUUGUUCUGUUUCUGAAAUAACAUUAGGUUAAAGCAUCUAUAAUGUUUAUGGUACAAUUCUACUGUAGCAUAUGGGCUGAAAAAAAGAAUUGGACUGAUUUUUAUUGUAAUAAUCUUUCAGGUCGUGCCAACAGGUUGUAUGAUUUAUCAGUUAAAUUAUAUUUUAGUCACAUCUUAAACUUGGUAAGACCAGCGCAACGCUUGUUUUUCACUAAGUAUUAUCUUACUUUCAACAGCCGUGCAGGCCAUUAUGCAAAUGAUUAUUUUUGUGUGCAUUUGAGUAUGGUUUUUACUUCCUUUUCUGUGUUUAUUCGCCUGGGGCUCGAAAUUUUAGGGGAAUUCUGACUUGCUGGGUCUAUUUAAAGCACGCCUAUCAGCUCGUGCUGUUGUAUGGCCGUUUACUACUCAUGUGUGUCUCUGCAGUUGUUCUGUUGCCACAUCACCUGCUCGUGACCAACCGUGUUUCAAACGGGCCACCAGCAGCUGUGUGCCUGGCACCGACUGAACACCAGUCCGUUCCUCCAUCUGGUGUGUUGGUCUGUGGAUGAAGCCUUCACCUGCAGAUCGGAUGAACAGCGUCUUAGAAGAAGAAGAAGAAGAAGCCUACGUUCUAAACAGUACUAAACUGUACCACUCAUUGUUGCUUAGGUGCUACCUUUAUCUUUUGCACCUUUAAUGUGUCUUUCAGAUGGAAGUGUGGAUAUACUGUAGUGUAGCUUUAAAAAGGAUCUAAGGUACAUACAUGGACCGUAAUUUAGGGCUGAGCGAUAUGACAGUAUAGCGUUGAUAUUGUGACAAAGUACGUCACAGUGCACUUUUCUGAGAUAUCGUGGGUAUUGUGGUAUCUUUAAAUAACAAUUACAAACUCUGGAAGCAGAUUGGAUCAAGUUUUCAGUGAAUUUUAAAAAUGGUAAAAUUGUUUAUUUUGAUUAAAUAAAACUAUCAUGGGACUGUUUUUUAAAGGUUUAUUUUUCAACGCAACUCAGCAACAGUACUGCUUGCAAUUUGUAAUGAAACCUACACGUGUAUAUAUAUCAUGCAUAGACACUAUACUAAUAAUGCAUCGUUGAAGUGUCGAAACAUGAUAUUUCUAUUUUAAAGGGGUACUACAUGCAUCUUUCUAGGUUAGGGGUACAUAGUAAUGGAACUAAAGGUAAACGUUUUGGGUUCCCUUUUUUUCGGAGAGUGCACUGAGCUGUUAUAAAGUUGAUCCUAAAGCAGACAUUGAGAGGACUUUAAAUUGAGCACGGUGAAAAAUAUGCACCGUGGACACUUGUUGCACCAUCACCGGCCAAUCGGAUACACGAUCCCAUGUAAAUAGGAAGUGCUACGUCCAUGAUCGAGACAUAGGGAAGUGGUUAGCGUGUGCAAACUUCAUCUGCACUUGAAUAUGUUGAAUGUCAAAAUAAUGUGUAACCGUAAAUUGUUUGAUGCCAUUUUGCAAUGCUAGCUGAGUAAAUUACUUGUUAGUGUAUGUGUAGUUUAUCCCUUACAUUUGUACAGUAGGCGGCAGUGCAAGCAGUGUAUUUCAGCGACGUGACCAUGUCUGGUGGCUAAAGGACUCUGGUGGCUAAAAAAAUAGUUGGAGCGUAGAAUAGUCUUGUUUAUGGUAGAUGUUGCACCUGCUAUGGGGGAAGUGUAAGUUUUAAGUUAUAGCUUCAAAUAAUACGUUAAAACUGUGCUGUUGGUGCAGGCGUUUAUUUUUUAAUAGUCCGCAAACAUGAACCUAGUGAGCGAACUAGCUUACGUUAGAGAUGAACUACUUUACAGACAUGGACUCGGCUUUCCCUUCUCAGAUACAGCUGAUCACAUGAUGUGGCAAGACGUUACUGCUGUCUUCAGUGUUCUGUUGUGAAUUUCCACCAGAAUUCAUGGCUGCCGCUCUGAGCACUCUUCUGUGGUCGAGGCCGUGCAGAGUCAGGUGGCUUUUCUGAAUGCCCACAUGCGUCAGUUUGAAGGAAGCAGGACUAAGCCAGGCCUUGUGCACCAUACCCCCACAUCCCGCUGUAACCCUCGUCGGCCAGAUGCACGGCCGCCUCAUGCAUUUGAUACAAAACCCACUGGAAUCUUCUUUGAUAGCCGACAAGAAAUAUAGCAAGCCUGGGACAUGGGGCAGGAAGCCUGGGUGAAGGCAGGCCCUAUUUUGACUGAAGAGUCCCAUUGUGCAGAGAAAGGGAAUAGAGGGAGGACGCAGGGAGGAGAGAUUGGAUAGAUCUGAGGGUCCCUCUGUCCCUUUCCCUGGACGAGGCACAACGCAGCCACAGUGGACAAUAUGGCCUCCUGAGGGACUGCCGUUAUGUAAGCAGCUGCCUUGGCUUGCUGAUGCACUCUAUAGUAGGUCAGUGUGGCUUAAAUACCAAAGGGUCACUAGAGAGCUGUAUGGCCCAUUACAGGAGAUUUAUGGAACCAGUGUAGCUACUGGUAUGAUUAUUUAAAAGCGUUCUUAUUUCAGUAUGAUGGCUGUGUGUGCGCGUGUUUUUUUUUUUUUCCUCUUUCACUUUCAACACGUAGCUUUACAGUAAUUUUCAGCCACAGUUGCGUGUAACCCUUUCCCACUGUCGUCUCAGGGGAAUUCAUCAUUCAGGGGAAACUGCAAACCUGCAUUCAUCUCUCUCUUUCUCUCUCAUUCUUUCAUAAUCUGAGACUAUUUUUACCAAAGGGACUUGGUUCUACAGACUGAUAGACAGUGUCAGAAAUAGUUUAACGCUAUAAAUAUAGAGAGCAAGUGUCUCACUACUUUUUUGAAUCAAAUCAGGUUAAAUAAAGUGGAGCUUUCAAUAGACAUGAAUUCAAGGAUUGACACUCUUGUGCUCCCACAUACUGAAUACACUUCAUUGGGGAAGCUUCCUCAGUCAAGCAACUUCAGUCUUUAACUUUAAGCUUAUCCCUCAGCUGGAGGAAUAGAGGUAUAAAUAUAUACCACUGGGGCGGCACAGCGGAUUACAUUGUCACCUCACAGCUCCAGUGUCUCCGGUUCCACUCAGGUUACCGUCUACGCAGAGUUUUGCGUGUUCUCCCAGUGUUCACGUGGGUUUCUUCUGGGUUCUUUCUUCCCACCUCCUUAAAAAUACUGGUUUGUGGAUUAGCGUUUCUAAAUGACCCCUCAGUGUGAAUGAGUGUGUGUGUGUGUGUGUGUGUGUGUGUGAGUGAGUGAGUGAGUGAUGCCCUGCAAUGGACUGGUGUCCCAUUCAGGGUGUCUCCGCCCCAUGCCCGGUGUUCCUAAGACGACUCUGAGAAGGAUAAAGGGUUUACUGAAGGUGAAUGAAUAUUUUCAUAAUAUUUUUCAUAAAACGUGAUCACAAUCAACAUUUUAAAUCCGUGCAAAACUCAUGGUUGCUAGAUUGGACUAACACGAUCGUUUGACUACAUACCCUAGCAGAAUCACCAUCUUCAUCAUCAUCGUCAUAAAUAUCAUCAUCGACAUAAUUUUCCCUACACUUAACUAAAUUAUAAUCUGUUGGCACACAGCACACUGUCAUUCCAGAACAAUAGGAUUACAGAUUUUCCAACAUUUUUAUUGCUCUAGAGGAAUGUUUUACUUUGGUUUUCCCUGACAUGACCCAAGCUCCAGAUUUUUUCUUUAACAGAAAUUCUAGUUCUGUCGUAUGCUUUGUUGGAUAUUCUCCCCCUAGUGGUGGGAGGACUGAUUAUGUUGAUCAUGAACACAUUUUUAGAGUAGGGCUUAAUUUGGGGAUACCUUUAAGUAAAACGAAAAAGGACAACCCCCCUUCCAUUCUAAAACUAACGACCCCCACUCCCUCGUUGUCUAUAAUUUUAAUUUCAUGCAUAAAUCAGGGUUGCCAGGUUGGAUUAACUCUUUUCGUUCCAGUCACAGUUUAAAAAACUCCCACUGCAAAGUGAGGCCAGAUAGCUCUUGGCACGAGGUUUCCUUUCAGAACAAUCAUAUCCAAAGUGUCUUGCUUGGUUUUCCCUAACAUUCCCCAAGAUCCAGAUUAUUUUCUUUUUACAGAGACACUAAGGGUGUUUUCACAUUUGACCCAAAUAAUACCCAGGACUGAUUCUAGGCUCGUUUGGGGGCGGGGUUCAGAGUAACAGGUUUGCUUUGACAUAGAAGAAUUCUUUCUGAAUAGUGGAUUUGUUGUGCAAUUCCAUACGUCACUUUUGUGCAUGUAGGUUUUGUAAAAUGGUAGGCACAAGGUUUGUUGAUUUGCUGUUUUGUUUUUUUCCCUUUGGUAUCAACACUCAAGCGGCGAAGAACAGCGGUCUUUAGAUGUACGGCAUGCUAUUGAGUCAAACGAGGAGAAGAUUUUAAACCAUGCAGGCAUUUUUGUCUCUUCUGCUGACCAUAACAACCCUUUCCCCACCAUCACCAAACUUGAAACAGGAAGUAGCCUAAGUUGUUGAAGUUGAACCAAUCACAUUGUUCAGCAUGCAGCACCAGAAGUGAGCCCCAUACCACCAUUUUGAAUAGGACCAGUGAUCGAUACUUUGGACUGCUAACAGCCUUGAAAACAGCAUCUAUAAGAGACCAAAUGUACUGAACUCAAGUGGCCCAGUGCCUACAAAAAAAACAAACAAACAAAAAGAAACCACAUGCCCCCUAGUGGUGGGAAGACUCAUUAUGCUCAUUAGUUUACAUUAAAGUGCACCUCUUAUGGUUUUUCACAUAUUACCUUUCAUGUAGUGUGUUAUAGAGCUGUUUGUGAAUGUAAAAAGUCUUUUGAAAUGCAAAGUUUAAAAAAUCAAAGUGGACGACAAAUGGAAUUAUUGACUCCCAAAAGAAGGAAUCGAUUCUGAACAGCUGAAACAAGUCCUUAGAAAUUCAACAUUUACUUCCUGUACUAACCUACGUAGGUUUGUAACAAAAAGCCCCGCCUCUGGUAUUCUUUUUUUUUUUUUAUGGUAGUGGGCGUUUCCUUUUCGACACACGCUGACAACUGUAGACCAAUCAAAACAGACUGAGACAUCUGACCAAUCAGAGCAGAGUAUGUUCUCGGAAAGUAAGAGUUUAAAAUCAAUCCUUUAGGAUGGAUCAUUUUAAGAGUCAUUUGUGACACUGGGGGGAAAAAAGGGAAUACCAUAAUUUAAAUUAUGAGCACAUUAAAGUGUUUUUUGAACUUGGAUGCAUGUAAAUCUAUUGUACGAGAUUUACAACAAAAAAUUAGGCACGUUUCAAAACCAUAAUAGGUGUGCUUCAAAACUAUUGGUACAAAUCUAACGGAUUAUAAUGAAUUUUUUGUGAUGUAAAACAUAUAUACAAUGAUAAAGCAUAGCACCUGCUGUCAUGGAGACAAUCAGAACGGCUUGUGUUUUCAUGUUUGGACAAGGAAGAAGAGCAAAAAAUGCACCUGGGUCGAUGGAGAGGGGAAACGCAAACAGCUGUCCAAAACAAGGGCAAAGUGUUAGUGCAGAGGGAGCGUUAAAAGACAGGGCUUUCAGCGAGGGAGUGAGAGAGGUGGAGGGAUGAGAUGAAGAGAGCAGGAGUGGUAUGCGGUUGGAAGAUAUCCUUGGGAAAGUUUGCAUCUCUUACACUAUCUGGAGCUCAGCUGGGGACAAAUACCACACAGCAUCGAGAGGAAGGCCGCUCUAGCACCAGAACCCUCACGCUGGAAUGUUUCACUCCAAAUAGCAACUGCUCGUCGCUGUUAUCUUUUUCUUCCUCUCCUCCUCCUGUUCUCCCAUCAACCCUGCUGCAAUGUGUAACCGUUGGAAUGAGAAGAACAACCGAUUCUGCAUGAAUGCUCAAAAAUAAAUAUCAUAAACAGCCAUGAUACUGAUCAUCAAAUUUAAAUUGGCCACUGGAGCAUUUAUUCAACAAUUGUGGCGUUCAUGAAAAUCUUGGGUUAUUGCAAAUACAUAUACAGGUUAUGCUGUAUAGUUUAAAUCACUUUUUUUUUUAAUCAAUUACACACCGAUUUCAUAAACAUUUUGUGGAACUACUUUUUAAAGGAAUUCAAAGCAAAUCCAUAAAUUAAGAUAAAUCCAUUUAUUUAGGCUUGUUUGCUGAUGGUUGGUGUUUAUUUAGUUUAGGCUUGUUGGCUGAUGGUUGGUGUUUAUUUAGUUUAGGCUUGUUUACUGAUGGUUGGUGUUUAUUUAGUUUAGGCUUGUUGGCUGAUGGUUGGUGUUUAUUUAGUUUAGGCUUGUUGGCUGAUGGUUGGUGUUUAUUAAUUUAGGCUUGUUUGCUGAUGGUUGGUGUUUAUUUAGUUUAGGCUUGUUUACUGAUGGUUGGUGUUUAUUUAGUUUAGGCUUGUUUACUGAUGGUUGGUGUUUAUUUAGUUUAGGCUUGUUUGCUGAUGGUUGGUGUUUAUUAAUUUAGGCUUGUUUACUGAUGGUUGGUGUUUAUUUAGUUUAGGCUUGUUUGCUGAUGGUUGGUGUUUAUUAAUUUAGGCUUGUUUACUGAUGGUUGGUGUUUAUUUAGUUUAGGCUUGUUUGCUGAUGGUUGGUGUUUAUUUAGGUCGAUUUUGUUUGCUGCUGUUUAAUAUUUAUUUAGUUUCUUUUUGUUUGCUGAUGGUUUUUUAACAUUUAUUUAGAUAUGUUUGUGGAUGUUUGGUGCUUAUUUACUUUGGUUUUGUUUGCUGUUGUUUGAAUUUUAGGUGUUUGUUUAGCUUUGUUUUAUUUGCUGAUUGUAUUUUUUUUUUUGAUUGAGUUUGGUGUAAAUUGUGGUUGGUGUUUAUUUAGGUUGGUUUUAUUAUUAUUUGCUGCCUUUAAUAUUCGUUUAGUUUGCAUUUAUUUGCUGAUGGUUGGUGUUUAUUUUGUUCGUUUUUUGGCUGCUGUUUGUGUACAGUAAUGUUAUUUGCUUUCAUUUUCUUUGCUUUUUUGUGUUUAUUAUUUUUGUUUGCCUCAGGGUUUAUGUAUAUUCAGUUUGGUUUUGUUUGUGUCAUUGUUAUUGUUUAUUUUGUUUGGUUUUGUUUGCUGCUAACCAAUAUUGAUUUAGUUAUGUUUGUUGGUGGUAUUUUAAUGUGAAUGUAGUUUUGUUUGCCUCAGGGUUGAUGUAUAUUCAGUUUUGUUUUGUUUGUGUCAUUGUUAGUGUUUAUUUAGUUUGCUUUUGUUUGUUGAUGG
ensembl:lncRNA